GACGAACGCUGGCGGCGUGCUUAACACAUGCAAGUCUAGGGGGCCCAGCGAAUGGGUCACCGGCGAACGGGUGCGUAACACGUGAGCGACCUACCUUGAGAUGGGGGAUAGCCGGCCCAACGGCCGGGUAAUACCGCAUACGCUCAUCGGGCUUCAUGGCCUGGUGAGGAAAGCUUUAGCGUCUCUAGGAGGGGCUCGCGGCCUAAUCAGCUAGUUGGCGGGGUAACGCCCACCAA
rnacentral:rRNA from 1 species